GAUGAACGCUGGCGGCGUGCCUAAUACAUGCAAGUCGAGCGAACAGACGAGGAGCUUGCUCCUCUGACGUUAGCGGCGGACGGGUGAGUAACACGUGGAUAACCUACCUAUAAGACUGGGAUAACUUCGGGAAACCGGAGCUAAUACCGUAUAAUAUAUUGAACCGCAUGGUUCAAUAGUGAAAGACGGUUUUGCUGUCACUGAUAGAUGGAUCCGCGCCGCAUUAGCUAGUUGGUAAGGUAACGGCUUACCAAGGCGACGAUGCGUAGCCGACCUGAGAGGGUGAUCGGCCACACUGGAACUGAGACACGGUCCAGACUCCUACGGGAGGCAGCAGUAGGGAAUCUUCCGCAAUGGGCGAAAGCCUGACGGAGCAACGCCGCGUGAGGGAUGAAGGUCUUCGGAUCGUAAAACUCUGUUAUUAGGGAAGAACAAAUGUGUAAGUAACUAUGCACGUCUUGACGGUACCUAAUCAGAAAGCCACGGCUAACUACGUG
rnacentral:rRNA from 1 species